CCGAGUUCAUGCCCUAACGGGUAGAUCUCCCACCCUGUGUUAUUAUUACCUUUGUUGCUUUGGCGGGCCGCUAGGCUCCGGUCAGGCUACCGGCUCCGGCUGGUAAGCGCCCGCCAGAGGACCCCAAACCCUGAAUGUUAGUGUCGUCUGAGUACUAUAUAAUAGUUA
rnacentral:misc_RNA from 1 species